rnacentral:rRNA from 1 species
GACGAACGCUGGCGGCGUGCCUAAUACAUGCAAGUCGAACGCAGUGGGGCCGGGUGAGUAACACGUGGGUAACCUCCCAUCAGAGGGGAUAACACUUGGAAACAGGUGCUAAACCGAUACUGAUGGAUGGACCCGCGGUGCAUUAGUGAGUUGGUGAGGUAACGGCUCACCAAGGCCACGAUGCAUAGCCGAUGCGCGAGGGGGAUCGGACACACUGGAACUGAGACACGGCCCAGACUACUACGGUAAGCAGCAGUAGGUAAUCUUCGGAAAUGGACGAAAGUCUGACCGAGCAACGCCGCGUGAGUGAAGAAGGUUUUCGGAUCGUAAAACUCUGUUGUUAGAGAGGCGGUAUCUAACCAGAAAGCCACGGCUAACUCCGUGCCAGCAGCCGCGGUAAUUC